UACCGCUUCAAUUAAAUAUUCCUUCUUUAUUAUUUUUUAUUCUCUCUUUCUCUCUCUUCCUCUCUGUCUGUUUCUCUUCUCUGAACCAAGAUCAACCACCAAAGUGAACAAACUUUCACUCUUUCUUCUCAACUCAGCAAACCCACUACCACCUAAAACCCCCCACAUCACAACCUAGCCAUAGCCACCUCCAAAUACCCAUUACCCAGCGACCAUGAUCACUGCCAGAUACCCGCUCCCCAGCCACCAUGAUCACAACCCAUCAUCGCAAGAUCGACUCACUGAGACCCACCAAACCCAUAGCCUAGCCACCGUGAUCACAACCCAAACCCCACUGCAACAAAUUUAAAAAAAUAAAAAAUAUUGGCAGUUCAUAUAAAACCCUUAAUUUUGUGGCCUAUAGGUUAUGUAAUGGAUACCUAAAGUAUGUGUUUUUAGGUGAUUGGUGGAUUCUGAAUGUUGUCCAGAAAGAUAUUGUUUGUAUCUAGAUAUUUUCGUUCAUGAUAUAUUUAUGUAUUGAUGUUUGACUGCUGGUUCCCUUCUCUACAGGGAAUUGGAUUCCUUAAUGAUCCCCGUAGGCUCAAUGUUGCUCUAACUCGUGCUCGAUAUGGUAUUGUCAUUCUGGGGAAUCCUAAAGUCCUGAGCAAACAGCCACUGAGGUAUAGCUUAUUGACACACUACAAGGCAUCAAAAGAACUUAAUGAUUAAUGGGAUCUCAUGUGUAUUGAAGAGGACCCAGCUAUAGAUCCAGAUGUCUAAAUAGCAGAUACAAGUCACUAUGUUUUUAAAAUUUCCAAUGAAUUGGUCUUGAAGGUUGAAGCUUAAAAGAUAUAAGAAUCUUCUACUUUGAAAGGUAGAUGACAAUGUAAAUUUUAGAGUGUAAAGGGCAGCAGGCAGAGUAGUUGAGUUGUAUUGAUUUUUAC